GCCGUGGUGGCGGAAUGGCAUACGCGUUAGUCUCAAAAACUAAUGACCUCACAGUCAUGAGGGUUCGACCCCCUCCCACGGCA
rnacentral:tRNA from 1 species